UGUUGUGGCUGUGCAUCCACAGGAUGACAUUUGGGUGGUUGCGGGCCUUCCGCAGAUCUCCCAGGUUCUGGCCCAGCAGAUUCCUCACACUG
ensembl:miRNA Gm55306 predicted gene, 25083